rnacentral:tRNA from 1 species
GCGGGUAUGGCGGAACUGGCAGACGCGUUGGAUUUAGGUUCCAAUGGGAAUACCCGUACAGGUUCGACCCCUGCUACCCGCACCA